rnacentral:rRNA from 1 species
AGAGUUUGAUCAUGGCUCAGGAUGAACGUUGGCGGUGUGCCUAAUACAUGCAAGUCGAACGGAGUUAAUAGCAAUAUUGACUUAGUGGCGAACGGGUGAGUAACGCGUUGGUGAUCUGCCUCGAAGUGUGGAAUAACGUUCCGAAAGGAACGCUAAUACCGCAUGUGCUCUCGAUUUUUAGAAACUUGAGAGUAAAGGAUUUAUUCGCUUCAAGAGGAGCCUGCGUCCCAUCAGCUGGUUGGUAGGGUAACGGCCUACCAAGGCUAUGACGGGUAGGGGACCUGAGAGGGUGGCCCCCCACAAUGGAACUGAAACACGGUCCAUACACCUACGGGUGGCAGCAGUAGGGAAUAUUAGAAAUGGACGAAAGUCUGAUCUAGCAACACCGCGUGUGCGAAGAAGGCCUUCGGGUCGUAAAGCACUUUUUGGAAGGAAUAGGAAGGAAUGUACUUCCAGAAUAAGUCUCGGCUAACUACGUGCCAGCAGCCGCGGUAACACGUAGGAGGCAAACGUUAUCCGGAUUUACUGGGCGUAAAGCGCGUGUAGGUGGUACUGUAAGUAGGGCGUGAAAGCUCCCGGCUCAACUGGGAGAGGCCGUUCUAAACUGCAGAACUAGAGGAUGGUAGAGGGAGGUGGAAUUCCAGGUGUAGCGGUGGAAUGCGCAGAUAUCUGGAGGAACACCAGUGGCGAAGGCGGCCUCCUGGACCAUUCCUGACACUCAGACGCGAAAGCUAGGGUAGCAAACGGGAUUAGAGACCCCGGUAGUCCUAGCCCUAAACGAUGUAGACUAGGCGUCGGUGGUUUAAUCACCAUCGGUGUCCAAGCUAACGCGAUAAGUCUACCGCCUGGGGACUACGGCCGCAAGGUUAAAACUCAAAGGAAUUGACGG